rnacentral:rRNA from 1 species
GACGAACGCUGGCGGCGUGCUUAACACAUGCAAGUCGAACGCUGAAGCUCAGCUUUUGUUGGGUGGAUGAGUGGCGAACGGGUGAGUAACACGUGAGUAACCUGCCCCCUUCUUUGGGAUAACGCCCGGAAACGGGUGCUAAUACUGGAUAUUCACUGGUCUUCGCAUGGGGGUUGGUGGAAAGGGUUUUUCUGGUGGGGGAUGGGCUCGCGGCCUAUCAGCUUGUUGGUGGGGUGAUGGCCUACCAAGGCUUUGACGGGUAGCCGGCCUGAGAGGGUGACCGGUCACAUUGGGACUGAGAUACGGCCCAGACUCCUACGGGAGGCAGCAGUGGGGAAUAUUGCCCAAUGGGCGAAAGCCUGAUGCAGCGACGCCGCGGGAGGGAUGGAGGCCUUCGGGUUGUGAACCUCUUUCGCUCAUGGUCAAGCCGCAACAAUGGUUGUGGUGAGGGUAGUGGGUAAAGAAGCGCCGGCUAACUACGUG